rnacentral:ncRNA from 1 species
GAAUCAUCCAGAGGGGUGGAGGGACCGGCCCUACGAAGCCCCGGCAACUCCCCGGUGGACGUGGUGUGCGCAAUGCACGCCCCGCCGCAGGGGUCAGUGCCAACUCCGGCCUGCCGCCAACGUGGCGCGGGUAAAGAUGAGGA